rnacentral:pre_miRNA from 1 species
CAAGUACUCCCUCCGUCCGGAAUUACUUGUCAUCAAAAUGGAUGUGUCUAGAACUAAAAUACAUAUAGAUACAUCCAUUUCAAUGACAAGUAUUUUCGGAUGGAGGGAGUACAAG